AUUGAACGCUGGCGGCAGGCCUAACACAUGCAAGUCGAACGCGAAAGUCCUUCGGGAUGAGUAGAGUGGCGGACGGGUGAGUAACGCGUAGGAAUCUGUCCUGUAGUGGGGGAUAACUCGGGGAAACUCGAGCUAAUACCGCAUACGUCCUAAGGGGGAAAGCGGGGGAUCUUCGGACCGCGUGCUAUAGGGGGAGCCUGCGUCGGAUUAGCUAGUUGGUAGGGUAAAGGCCUACCAAGGCGACGAUCCGUAGCUGGUCUGAGAGGAUGAUCAGCCACACCGGAACUGAGACACGGUCCGGACUCCUACGGGAGGCAGCAGUGGGGAAUAUUGCGCAAUGGGGGCAACCCUGACGCAGCCAUGCCGCGUGUGUGAAGAAGGCCUUCGGGUUGUAAAGCACUUUCAGUGGGGAGGAAAGGGCGUUGGCUAAUACCCAAUGCAGUUGACGCUACCCACGGAAGAAGCACCGGCUGAUUCCGUGCCAGCCGCCGCCGUAA
rnacentral:rRNA from 1 species